UACGGAGGGGGCUAGCGUUGUUCGGAAUUACUGGGCGUAAAGCGCGCGUAGGCGGAUAUUUAAGUCAGGGGUGAAAUCCCGGGGCUCAACCCCGGAACUGCCUUUGAUACUGGGUAUCUCGAGUCCGAGAGAGGUGAGUGGAAUUCCGAGUGUAGAGGUGAAAUUCGUAGAUAUUCGGAGGAACACCAGUGGCGAAGGCGGCUCACUGGCUCGGUACUGACGCUGAGGUGCGAAAGCGUGGGGAGCAAACAGG
rnacentral:rRNA from 1 species